UUUACAAAAUGAUGAAAAAUAAUCCCAAAAUUCAUAUGGAACCAAAAAAGAGCCUACAUAGCCAAAAGAAGACUAACCAAAAAGAAUAAAUCUGGUGACAUCACAUUACCUAACUUCAAACUAUUCUGUAACACCAUAGUCACUAAAACAGCAUGAUACUGGUAUAAAAAUAGGCACAUAGACCAAUGGAACAGCAUAGAGAACCCAGAAUUAAAGCCAAAUACUUACAGCCAGCUGAUCUUCAACAAAGUGAGGAAAGGACACCCUAUUCAACACAUAGUGCUGGGAUAAUUGGCUAGCCACAUUUAGGAGAAUGAAACUGGAUCCUUAUCUCUCACCUUAUACAAAAAUCAACUCAAGAUGGAUCAAGAACUUAAGACCUGAAGCCUUAAAAAUUCUAGAAGAUAACAUUGGAAAAACCCUUCUAGACAUUGGCUUAGGCAAAGACUUCAUGACCAAGAAGCUCAAAACAAAUGCAACAAAAACAAAAGAUAAAUAGAUGGGACUUAACUAAACUAAAAAGCUUUUGCACAGCAAAAGAAAUAAUUAGCAGAGUUAACAGACAACACACAGAGUGGGAGAAAAUCUUCACAACCUACACAUCCAACAAAGGACUAAUAUUCAGAAUCUACAAAGAACUCAAAUCAGUAAGAAAAAAACCAAUCCCAUAAAAAAGUGGGCUAAGGACACGAAUAGACAAUUCUCAAAAGAAAAUAUACAAAUGGCCAACAAGCAUAUGGAAAAAUGCUCAACAUCCCUAAUGAUCAGGGAAAUGCAAAUCAAAACCACAACGCGAUAUCACCUCAUUCCUAUAAGAAUGGCAAUAUUAAAAAAAUUAAAAAAUAAUAGAUGUCAGCAUGGAUGUGGUGGAAAGGGAACACUUUUAUAGUGUUGAUACUAAUGUAAACUAGUACAACCACUAUGGAAAACGGUGUGGAGAUUGCUUAAAGAACUAAAAGUAGAUCUACCAUUUGAUCCAACAACCCCAUUCCUCAGUAUCUACCCAGAGGAAAAGAAGUCAUUAUACAAAAAAGAUACUUGUACACAUGUUUAUAGCAGCAAAAUUCAUAAUUGUGAAAAUAUGGAACCAGCCCAAAUGCCCAUCAAUCAAUGAGUGGAUAAAGAAAACGUGAUAUGUACACACACACCCCAUGGAAUACUACUCAGCCAUAAAAAGGAGCAAACUGGAUGGAAUUGGAGACCAUUCUUCUAAUUGCAGCAACCUGGAUGGAAUUGGAGACCAUUCUUCUAAGUGAAGUAGCUCAAGAAUGGAAAACCAAACAUCAUAUGUUCUCAUAUGUGGGAACUAAGCUAUGAGAAUGUAAAGGCAGAAGAAUGAUACAGGGGACUUUGGGGACUCAGCGGAAAUGGUGGGAAGGGAGUGAGAAAUAAAAGACUACACAUUGAGUACAGUGUACACUGCUCGGGUGAGGGAUGCACCAAAAUCUCAAAAAUCACCACUAAAGAACUUAUUUAUAUAACCAAACACCACCUGUUCCUUAAAAACCUAUUGAAAUAAAAAGUAAAUUUAAAAAAACCUCCUGGAUUCAUUGAUUUUUUUGAAGGUUUUUUUGUGUCUCUAUUUCAGUUCAGCCCUGAUCUUGGUUAUUUCUUGUCUUCUGCUAGCUUGGGAGUUUGUUUCCUCUUGGUUCUCUAGUCAUUUUAGUUGUAAUAUUAGGUUGUUAACUUGAGAUCUUUCUCUCUUUUUGAUGUGGGCAUUUAAUGCUAUAAAUUUUCCUCUUAACACUGCUUUAGCUGAGUCCUGGAGAUUCUGUUAUGUUGUCUCUUUGUUCUAAUUAGUUUUAAAACACUUCUUGAUCUCUGCCAUAAUUUUAUUAUUUACCCCAAAGUCAUUCAGGAGCAGAUUGUUCAAUUUCCAUAUAGUUGUGUGGUUUUAAGUGAAUUUCUUAAUCUUGAGUUCUAAUUUGAUUUUGCUGUGGUCUGAGAGACUCUUUGUUAUGAUUUCAGUUAUUUUUCAUUUGCUGAGGAGUGUUUUUCUUCCUAAUUUAUGAUUAGUUUUAGGGUAAGUGUCAUGUGGCUAUGAGAAGAAUGUAUAUUCGCUUGUUUUUUGUUGGAGAGUUCUGUAGAUAACUAUCAUGUCUACUUGAUCCACAGCUGAGUUCAGGUCCUGAAUAUCUUUGUUAAUUUUCUGUCUCCAUGAUGUGUCUAAUAUUGUCAUUGUGGUGUUAAAGUCUCCCACUAUUAUUGUGUGGGAGUCUAAGUCUCUUUGAAGGUCUCCAAUAACUUGCUUUAUGGACCUGGGUGCUCUUGUAUAGGGUGCAUAUAUAUUUAGGAUAGUUAACUCUUCUGGUUGAAUUGAACCCUUUACCAACAGGUAGUGCUCUUCUUUCUCUUUUUUGAUCUUUGUUAAUUUAAAGUCUGUUUUGUUAGAAACUAGGAUUGCAAGCUCUGUUUUUUUCUGCUUUCUGUUUGCUUGGUAAAUUUUCCUCCAUCCCUUUAUUUUUAGCCUAUGUGUUUCUUUGUGUGUGAGAUGGGUCUCUUGAAUACAGCAUACUGAUGGGUCUUGGUUCUUUAUCUAGCUUGCCAUUCUGUGUCUUUCAUUGGAGAACACAUUGAGAUUUAAGAGUUUGGAGAAUCUGAUGAUUAUGUGUCUCGGGGAUGAUCUCCUCGUGGAGUAUCUCACUGGAGUUCUCUGGAUUUCUUGAAUUUGAGUGUUGGCCUGUCUUGCUAGAACUAACUUGGGGAAGUUAGUUCUCUUGGAUCCUAUGCUGAAAAAGAUCGUCUUCAAGCUCUGAGAUUCUUUUCUUGGCCUAUUCUGCUGUUAGUAAUUGUGAUUUCAUUGUGAAGUUCUUGUAGUGUGUUUUUCAGCUCUAACAGGUAAAUAUAAAUGUAGGUGCAUAAUAUAGACUUUUUCUGAAUGGUUUAUAAGUUGCAGUGCUGGGAUUACAAGCGUGAGCUACCACACCCAGCGAGGAAGCCAAGUUUAACGUGUGUGCUCCACUCCUCCAACCUGGCCAAAGGGCAGUCAUCAUCACUGGCCACUACUGACCACAGCCUUUAGAAACUCCCCUUGAACGUGCUGGGCUGACCUUCCUCUGAUCACAGGCAAGGCAAAGGAAAAUGACAGGCCCUUGCCUUCCCGGUCCUCAAGGGUCAGCUGUAAGAUGAUGUCAUAAAGCCGGAUCAGGUCCUGGGGCCGGGGGAAGCACUUGCUGUCAUCCUCUGGCUGCUGCUGCAGCAGAGCCCUCUGCAGACCUUUGGCCAUGCUCUCAUUACGCUUGAUUGCCAUUGACAGCUUGAUGUAAGUCAGGUGAACAAAUAGAAGCUGAGGGUGAAGGACCUACAGCUGUCACCUUCAUCUCUUCUCAACACUGCCAACUGUCCCCUUGGAUUUCCCAGACAGACAACAAGGGACAUCUCUGGUUUCUCGGUGCCCCCUAGAAACCUCGGGUCAUUUCAAGGCAUUAUGCAAAUGAGAAGCUUUCCUUCUCUUCACCUCAUCUCCUGAUCUGCACAAAAGUGACUGUAGGACCCAGUGUUGUAGAUGAGCAUGAGAGUGUGGAGCAGAGUUGGCGAGUGCAAGUCGAGCCCAUCAACCUGGACAGCUGUCUCCGUGCUUUCACCAGUGAGGAAGAGCUAGGGGAAGAUGAGAUGUACUACUGUUCCAAGUGUAAGACCCACUGCUUAGCAACAAAGAAGCUGGAUCUCUGGAGGCUUCCACCCUUCCUGAUUAUUCACCUUAAGUGAUUUCAAUUUGUAAAUGAUCAGUGGAUAAAAUCACAGAAAAUUGUCAAAUUUCCUCGGGAAAGUUUUGAUCCGAGUGCUUUUUUGGUACCACGAGACCCAGCUCUCUGCCAGCAUCAACCACUCACACCCCAGGGGGAUGAGCUCUCCAAGCCCAGGAUUCUGGCAAGAGAGGUGAAGAAAGUGGAUGUGCAGAGUUUGGCUGGGGAAGAGGACAUGCUCCUGAGCAAAAGCCCAUCCUCACUCAGCGCUAACAUCAGCAGCAGCCCAAAAGGUUCUCCUUCUUCAUCAAGAAAAAGUGGAACCAGCUGUCCCUCCAGCAAAAACAGCAGCCCUAAUAGCAGCCCACGGACUUUGGGGAGGAGCAAAGGGAGGCUCCGGCUGCCCCAGAUUGGCAGCAAAAAUAAACUGUCAAGUAGUAAGAAGAACUUGGAUGCCAGCAAAGAGAAUGGGGCUGGGCAGAUCUGUGAGCUGGCUGACGCCUUGAGCCGAGGGCAUAUGCGGUGGGGGCAGCCAACCAGAGCUGGUCACUCCUCAGGACCACGAGGUAGCUUUGGCCAAUGGAUUCCUUUAUGAGCAUGAAGCAUGUGGCAAUGGCUACAGCAAUGGUCAGCUUGGAAACCACAGUGAAGAAGACAGCACUGAUGACCAAAGAGAAGACACUCAUAUUAAGCCUAUUUAUAAUCUAUAUGCAAUUUCAUGCCAUUCAGGAAUUCUGAGUGGGGGCCGUUACGUCACUUAUGCGAAAAACCCAAACUGCAAGUGGUACUGCUACAAUGGCAGCAUCUGUGAGGAACGUCACCCUGAUGAAAUUGACACCGACUCUGCCUACAUUCUUUUCUAUGAGCAGCAGAGGAUAGACUACGCACAAUUUCUGCCAAAGAUUGAUGGCAAAAAGAUGGCAGACACAAGCAGUAUGGAUGAAGACUUUGAGUCUGAUUACAAAAAGUACUGUGUGUUACAGUAAAGCUACCACUCUGGCUGCUAGACAGCUUGGUUGGGAGGAAGAUGACUCCUUGUAGCUGAUACUUGGCAAAAGUGUCACUGAGAGGCAAGCUAAAUGUAGUUAUUUUAUCCUGUUAGAAUACAAAUUCUAAUUAAAAUAGUUAACUUUAAGAGUAGCAGUAAUUUUAUUUUGAAGUCUCAUGCAAGUUGUCCGAUAGAGAACUUUCAGGCAGAUCCCACCAUUAGCCUGUAAACAAAAGGUUUGGCACCAGCCACCUGGGACCAAAUAAGAAUUCAAUUGUGCUUGUCCAGAUAUGAACAAAUAUGUAGUGAGUAUAGAGUUUAUCAAUAAUCAUAACAAAUAUUAAAGAUUUCCUUGGAGUCAAAGUAAAAAACAAAAAAUUGUAAUGUUGUCUAGGGAUGACAUGAUAUGCUACCUCCUUUUUCCUGAAGUUUUAUUCCAUUCUGUUGACAAGAUGGUGAAAGCAAGAUCAUGAAGGUGUGCAAAUGAUUCUUACGGCAUGGGCGAGGAUUUUUCAAUUUAUUUUUUAAAGUUUCCAUACCCUUUCUUUGUCUUUCUUGCUUUUUGUUUUUGCCGUUGUGUUUAAGUUUGAGACACAACCAGUCAUUGGUGGCAGGGGCAUAGAGUGGUCAGUCUGAAAGGGAGGCUCUCUUAAGAGCUAUGUGCCUUCUACUCAGAGGGAGACCCAGUAGAAAGAAAAACAUCCUGGGAAAUCCAGCUACCAUGGCCCUCCCAGUGGAGGCAUCUUACAUUUAGGAUACUUCAGGUAUCCUCAGAAAUGUAUUCUGCACCCCCGGCCCCGCCCAUGCUGAGGGAAGGGGAGCAGUUGCCAAUAUUUGCACCAUCUUCACAUGCACAUGUUGCAACAAGAGCUUCUGGGAAGGUAAGCGGCAUCGGAGCUAGAUCACGUUUCACAAUUAGUGGUGGUUCUUUUCCAUGUUUAUUUUGCACUUUAAAAAAGAGAGAACACAUGCAAAUGAACUUGCUUGUGUGUAUUUGAUGGCUCCAAGGGCUAUGAAUUACAAACAAAACACAUCCCAGACAUUAGGAGUUCAUAAGUAUAUUUAAUGAAAUUGGUGGUUUUAGGAAGUCAACUUUAGUUUUGCUUUGUUUGCAUGUCCACUAAUUUUUUUAUUUUGAUAUUAGUCUUUUUAAAAAAAUUUUACAGUAGUCAUUGAAAGUUAUGUUUCUUUGUUUACUUCAUUUUUUCCUCUAAUUAUUCAAGACUGGGACAAAAGUAUAAAUAUUAUUUAUUUCAGGUAGAAUUUUUUUCAUGUAGUUUUUUAAUAUAUACUUGAAGGAAAUGUUUCACCUUAUUUUUGGUCUUUGUUUAUUCAUUUAGACCCUGCAAGUUGAUUCUCAUUAAUUGUCAGAUUCCACUACACUUUCUUCCUCAUAGGUAGUAAUUACCAGUGUAACUAAGCAUUUGUGUUCUGAUAUCUGAGGCCAGUAACUAUUAAUAUCUAGUUCUCAGAGCAUUUGGAAAGGUUAUCUUAAAUGGCUACCUAAAUUGAAAUCCUUUUCAGAAAAAAUAUAAUUGCAAAUAGGUAGGAGUGGCCUAAAUUAUCUAAUGUAAUAAAGUCAGACAAAAUGCAUACUUUAUAGUUUCAAGAUUUUCAGUAUAUAAAAUCUGUCCUUUCCUACCUGGACAUGUCCCAUUAAAAAGUGGAAGAUCUUAAAUAAUUUCUUUACAGAUGUUUUAUUUAAGCAGGUAGCACAAUCUACUAAUGUUGUUUGAUCUGUGUUUGUUAUACUGGUUGUAAUUAAUUUUUUUAAUUCAUGAACUAGCGGAAAAUUUAUUAAAUUAACUAUUAACCACAUUCACCUUGUAAAUGACUGUAUAAAACUUGUUGACAAUGCACUGACUUUAGAAAGAUGUUAAUGUGCAUAAAUAGAGUGUAAAUAAAAUAGUGUUGAUGUACUGAAAUAUGAACUGUAUAAAAAGUAUUGGUAAUUGUAUAUGGGGUGUACCUAUUUAUCUGUAACUGUUAUCCAAACAAAUUAAAUACUGUGGAUGCCUCUAUGUACUGUUUUUCCUCAUAC
rnacentral:lncRNA from 1 species